CUCCGCAUAGUUAAAUUUCUAUAGAUGGGGUAGACAGAUUAUAAAAUUCUGGGCUCUAUGUUGAAUUAUAAAAUACAAUCCCAUACUGGAGUACAAUGCCACAUAAUGGCUCAGUUCAUGCCAUUCAUUGAGAUCAGAUGCAUUUCAGGCUGGUUGUCUCAGAUGUUGGACACUGUUUUGACAUUUGGAAAGAGAACUUUUGGAAAAUAAAAAUUGGACCUGACCUGACUGGUAUAUCAUUCUGGAAAAUGAGAACCAAUUUGCUUAAAAAUGCAGAACAGAGAGAAUCCUGAAGGAUCCUUCACCAAUAAAUUCCAAGGAAA